rnacentral:lncRNA from 1 species
CGGCUGGAGCCGAGCUUCCUGAUACCUAGUGAGCCGCGGUGAUGACAAAUGAAAACAAUAAGCUGUUUCCUAGACAAACAGCUGCCUAGUUUCGCUCUGUCGCCCAGGCUGGAGUGCAGUGGCACAAUCUCGGUUCACUGCAACCUCUGCCUCCCGGGUUCAAGCAGUUCUCUUGCCUCAGCCUCCCAAGUAACUGGUACUACAGAGAAUUGAUACAAAAAAUGAUCAUGUGAAGAAUUUGCAUCUUCUGCAGAACUACCGGUAUCAGUCAGCAGUAGGAGAUUGUAUAAAUUCAGCCUGAGAUUCCAGAAUAUUCUGUGUAUUGACCACCACAGCAAGAAGAAAAAGUCCAUGUAGGACUGAAAUCAUAUGCUGAGCCCUUUCCCAGUGUUGGGAGCAUAUCAAGAUAUUGACACAGUUCCUGUCCUUAAGGUCCUGCUCCCUGCCUGCCCAUCUUCGACCUCAGCCCUCCUCCUCCAAAGCAGUCCCUCAGAACCCCUCCUGGUUUCAGUCUGGAUCCCACCACAUGUUGAAUGGCACCCUCUCAAUCUGGGACAGCGUCCGUUGAUUUUCUCCUGUGAUAAAUGAGUGCCUGGAGUAGGGAUGGCACAGAAGAACUAUUCAGCACAUGAAGCAGUGAAUGAAAAGACAAAAGGGCAAGAAAAGGAGAGAACAGUGGAGAAAAAAGAUUUUAAUUAAAUACAUGUGGGAAUUUAUCUCUGGCUAUUAUUUAUUCCACCAAGUACACGGAUGUAUGAAUUCAUUUAGCAAACCUUUCUUUUUUGCACAUUUGCUAUGUAUUAAGUGUUAGAUAUACAAAGAAAGAUAAGAAAGACACAAUCUUUUUUCUUAAGGGGUUCUAAAUCAAAUAGAAAAUAUAGAGUUGUAAAAUAAUAUUUAUAAUACAAUAAAUGUUGUGUCCUCAUAGUUCUCUGAAAGCAAAACAGUAGCUGAAAUAUAAACGAUGAUGUUUUCAUGGAAGAGGAGGAAGAAUGAGGCUCCUACUAUGUGUGACCUGGUGCAUACAUUAUCUCAGUUGAUCCUCAGAGCAAGCUUUUCAUGGUCUAUGUGGUCUGUCCUUUGUUUAUUCUACAGCUGAGGGAUCAGGCUCAGGGAGACUUGAGUUUUGCCCCAGAUCACACAGCCAGCAAGUGACAGAGACAUGAUUCCAUCCAAAUCUUCUGACUUUAAACCCUCCUGCUCUGUGAAUGUUGAGUACCUGACCCAGGUGACUUUUCUGGAGCUUAACCUUGCUCUGACAUAAGAUCAGAGGGAAGAAAACACACUGUUUGGUUUAAGAAGAUUGUCCUGACUCUAACACCCUUGGGGCCUUUAGGGGGAAAGCAAACUCCUGCUUGUUGGCCUCACAAGACAUUUAGCCUCAGCAGCUGGAUUCUGUUCUAAGGAGGCCUGGUUUUCUCAUC